GAGUUUGAUCAUGGCUCAGGAUGAACGCUAGCGGCAGGCCUAAUACAUGCAAGUCGAGGGGCAGCGGGAGUAGCAAUACUUGCCGGCGACCGGCGCACGGGUGCGUAACACGUAUACAAUCUGCCCAUAUCAGGGGGAUAGCCCGGAGAAAUCCGGAUUAAUACCCCAUAAUAGUAGAGAAGGCAUCUUCUUUAUUUGAAAGCUACGGCGGAUAUGGAUGAGUAUGCGUCUGAUUAGUUAGUUGGUGAGGUAACGGCUCACCAAGACAUCGAUCAGUAGGGGAUCUGAGAGGACUACCCCCCACACGGAUACUGAGACACGGAUCCGACUCCUACGGGAGGCAGCAGUAAGGAAUAUUGGACAAUGCCCGCAAGGGUGAUCCAGCCAUGCCGCGUGCAGGAAGAAGGCCCUAUGGGUCGUAAACUGCUUUUACACCGGAGAAAACCCCCUUACGUGUAAGGGGCUGAUAGUAUGGUGAGAAUAAGCAUCGGCUAACUUCGUGCCAGCAGCCGCGGUAAGACGAAAGAUGCAAGCGUUAUCCGGAUUCAUUGGGUUUAAAGGGAGCGUAGCGGUCUUAUAAGUCAGUGGUGAAAUCUCCUCGCUUAA
rnacentral:rRNA from 1 species